rnacentral:rRNA from 1 species
CGAACCGUGCGAACGUUGUUCGGAAUCACUGGGCAUAAAGGGCGCAUAGGCGGCUUUUCAAGUCAGGGGUGAAAUCCGGCAGCUCAACUGUCGAAGUGCCCUUGAUACUGAUGAGCUCGAGGGAGGUAGGGGUGUGUGGAACUUCCGGUGGAGCGGUGAAAUGCGUUGAUAUCGGAAGGAACGCCGGUGGCGAAAGCGACGCACUGGACCUCUUCUGACGCUGAGGCGCGAAAGCCAGGGGAGCAAACGGGAUUAGAUACCCCGGUAGUCCUGGCCCUAAACGAUGGGUACUAGAUAGUGGACUUACAUGGGUUCACUGUCGAAGCUAAUGUGUUAAGUACCCCGCCUGGGGAGUAUGGUCGCAAGGCUG